rnacentral:rRNA from 1 species
AGUGAACGCUGGCGGUAGGCCUAACACAUGCAAGUCGAACGGCAGCACAGGAGAGCUUGCUCUCUGGGUGGCGAGUGGCGGACGGGUGAGGAAUACAUCGGAAUCCACUCUGUCGCGGGGGAUAACGUCGGGAAACUUACGCUAAUACCGCAUACUACCUACGGGUGAAAGCAGGGAAUCUUCGGACCUCGCGCGAUUGAAUGAGCCGAUGUCGGAUUGGCUAGUUGGGGGGGUAAAGGCCCACCAAGGCGACGAUCCGUAGCAGGUCUGAGAGAAUGAUCAGCCACACGGGAACUGAGACACGGUCCAGACUCCUACGGGAGGCAGCAGUGGGGAAUAUUGGACAAUGGGCGCAAGCCUGAUCCAGCCAUACCGCGUGGGUGAAGAAGGCCUUCGGGUUGUAAAGCCCUUUUGUUGGAAAAGAAAUCCAGCUGGCUAAUACCCGGUUGGGAUGACGGUACCCAAAGAAUAAGCACCGGCUAACUUCGUGCCAGCAGCCGCCGUAA